UACGAAGGGGGGCUAGCGUUGCUCGGAAUCACUGGGCGUAAAGCGCACGUAGGCGGAUCUUUAAGUCAGGGGUGAAAUCCUGGAGCUCAACUCCAGAACUGCCUUUGAUACUGGGGAUCUCGAGUCCGGGAGGGGUGAGUGGAACUGCGAGUGUAGAGGUGAAUUCGUAGAUAUUCGCAAGAACACCAGUGGCGAAGGCGCUCACUGGCCCGGUACUGACGGCCUGGAGGUGCGAAAGCGUGGGGAGCAAACAGGAGUUAAGCAUGACCCGAUGGACGUUCCCG
rnacentral:rRNA from 1 species